rnacentral:misc_RNA from 1 species
AAAAGACAUUCAAGAAAGAACCAUAUGGUGAAAGGGACAAUAGGAAAACUUGUCUUUAGUUUCUUGACAGUACAAGGUCUCUAGGAAAGUAGGAAUGCCAAAUUGUUCAAAGUGGGGGUAUUAAAUAUUAUCUCUUACACAAUGGAAUUACAGGAUUUUAGUAUUCUCAUUCCUGCUUUGGUAUAGCUAAUAUGAAUUCAUACUUGUAUCAGUUUGACCUGCUGAUUUGUGUAUUGGCUGAAAUGGCUGUAGUUGAGGGGAGAGAGAGAGAGAGAUAGGAAGAAGAGGUGGGAGAGAGAGAGGCAUAUGUGGAUGGGUUAGUAGCUGGAGACUCAUACUUUUCUCAGUUUUUUAUUUUAUUUAUGAAACAUGUAUAUCCUAACCCUUUA